rnacentral:misc_RNA from 1 species
GAUUAAGAACGUAGUGAAAUGCGAUACGUAAUGUGAAUUGCAGAAUUCAGUGAAUCAUCGAAUCUUUGAACGCACAUUGCGCCCGCCAGCACUCUGGCGGGCAUGCCUGUUCGAGCGUCAUUUCAACCAUCAAGCCCCAGGCUUGCGUUGGAGCCCUGCGGCUGCCGCAGCCUCCUAAAAGCAGUGGCGGGCUCGCUAUCACACCGAGUGCAGUAGAUUACUCUUCGCUCAGGGCGUGCAGCGGGUUCCGGCCGUGAAACCCCCUACUUUUAAAGGUUGACCUCGGAUCAGGUAGGAAUACCCGCUGAACUUAAGCAUAUCAAUAAGCGGAGGA